GAAGAAGAAGAAGAAUUUCCUUUCUUACCUAGCCAUAUUUAUAGAAGAUUAGAGGGGUAAUAUUCUUUGGCAUAUUCUAAGGGUAGGAGCAUAUUCCUUUUUUAUGAGGGUAUAGUCUUUAAGUUAAUUAUUUUAUAUUGUAUCAGUGAGUUUGGUGAUGACCCUUAUUGAUCAUCUUCAUAUAGGCUUUGCAGUUUCUUUUUUCGGUUAGAUGAACAAGGCUUUGCACUUUUGGGCUUAACUUUUGCAUUAGAUUAAUGUUGUCUCAUAAGAAAGGUGCAGUCAUUGUUUGUAGGAUGUUGAACACUGGAAUUAAGACAAAGAGUUAAGGUACUGCAUGAAAAGUUCACAUGCAAUAAUGUUUUUAAAUUGAAUAUUUGGUGAUUAUCACCAUAUAUGGGGACAAGGAUUAAUUAUAAAUUAGUGGCGAGGUUUAUAACUAAAUCCUUGAUUAAUGGAAAGGUUAGG
rnacentral:misc_RNA from 1 species